UCAUACAAUAGAGGUGCAAGGGCUGUCGCUGAUCUUCAAAGGUUGUGCACGCCUGAGCACUCUCUCAUACAUCCAUCUCUCACCCCCUUUGUGCAUCACCGCGUGGGUUCCCCUGGAAGGGGGGGCCUGCGUUUUUAUCAUAAAACUUGAUACAGUGUGGAAUGUUUAUUUUUGCGGUCAUACGCAAUCAAUA
rnacentral:misc_RNA from 1 species